AUGAAUGAACGAAGGAGGGAAGGAAGGAAGGAAGGAACCAGCCUCACAGAACAGGGAGGUUUAGAGAAUCCCGGCAAAACAAGAGGCGCCUUGCUAGCCAGGUGGCUCAUCUGUAAAGUGGGUGGCAGCACCGUGAGGACCCGGCCAGGUGACCAAUCACAUGCAAGGUUUGCUGGAGUCACGAGCUGGUCACCGCCGCUGGUCCUGUCCCCUGGGUGCAGGAGACACGUAGGUAGGGGACCCGUGUGCCUGUGAGAACAGAGCAGACAGGAAGCCGGAGGGGACGGCAGACAGGAACCCGGAGGGGACGGCAG
rnacentral:sRNA from 1 species